AUGGCCAGGCUUGCUUCCUCCUUCCUGCUGCUGAUUGUCCCUGCAUAUGUCCUGUCUCAGGUUACCCUGAGGGAGUCUGGCCCUGGGCUGUUGCAGCCCUCCCAGACCCUCAGUCUGACCUGCUCUUUCUCUGGGUUUUCACUGAGCACUUCUGGUAUGGGUGUGGGCUGGAUCCGUCAGCCCUCAGGGAAGGGUCUGGAGUGGCUGGCACGUAUUGAUUGGGAUGAUGAUAAGUACUACAACCCAUCCCUGAAGAGCAGGCUCACAAUCUCCAAGGACACCUCCAAAAACCAGGUAUUCCUCAAGAUCACCAGUGUGGACACUGCAGAUACUGCCACAUACUACUGUGCUCGGAGAGCACAGAGACACAGCCUCGGUUGUCAGCUGUACAAUAUUUCAGUGCAGCUGGUUGAGUCUGGUGGAGGAUUGGUGCAGCCUAAGGCGUCAUUGAAACUCUCCUGUGCUGCCUCUGGAUUCACCUUCAGUGACUAUGCCUUGUUCUGGUUCCGCCAGGGUCCAGGGAAGAGUCUGGAAUGGGUUGCUGCCAUAGGCUUUAAAAGUAAUAAUUAUGUAAUCUUCUAUGCUGAUUCAGUGAAAGACAGAUUCACCAUCUCCAGAGAUGAUUCCCAAAGCAUGGCCUACCUGCAAAUGAACAAUCUUAAAACUGAAGACACAGCCACAUAUUACUGUGCCAGUGAGACACAGUGA